CACCUGCAGUCAGGGACAGACACACACACACACACACACACACACACACACACCAGGGCUCCAGUCACAGCCUUAUACAUUUUCCUCAUUGCUCACUGUCGCCCACCUUCUCCAGGGCCCUCUUCUCUCCCGGAAAGCAGACAGUAUAUUGGCCAGGGCCGUCUCAGUGGCCCCCCCAAGAGGUGGUGGAGACACUUUUGAGAUCCACCCCCACUGAGACAGGUGUGAGGCUGGCACGCCAGGAAAGAGAUGGAAGUGAGACUGCAGGAAGGACUGGCCCCCCUGACCCAGUACGCAGUGCCUGCUGCCCGGAGCAGGAAAGGCCCUCAGUCAUUACCAAAAAGAAUGAAUGAAUGAAGAGCUGGACAAACAGCAAGAGGCAGUGCCCCAGCCCUGCUGCUGUGAGCUCACAGCUGCCCCCUUCCCCUGGGAGUUGUCCUGAACCGCCUUGCAGAAUGGAGCUGGCACCUGCUGCCCAGAACUGCAGUGGCUGACUCCCCUCCAGCCCUGAGAGCCGGCGUUACCUGCAGGAUAUGCACGCCCUUCAGGGAGACCACAGCCAGCUCCUGCAGCCCGUCCCCGGUCAGGUCCAGGUCUCAGGAAGCCGAGGCACCAUCAUCUCAGAUUUGGACACGUUCAAAGACCCAGCAAGAGCUCAACCUAUCACUCAAGCCGUGCGCCUCUGGACCAUCUCACUCCCAAAUGGAAAGCCGCCGUGUCCCACUGGGGACUCAGACACACGCAUCCUCAAUCUAGACACCGAUACUGCCUUCAUGGAGCCCAAAGACGGCUUGGCCCUGGCUUGGACACCUUCCCCACCCCUACACGGGUGACAGAGCUGGCCACAGUCGGUUCCAAGCGCUGACUGGGCAAUGUUGCCAUGUCAUCAAUUCAUGGCUCGGAACCCACGGUGGUGGGAGAAUUUACACUUUGUAUACUCGGGUAAAUGCUUCACACCUGGGCUUUCCCUGUGCAGAGCCAGUGAUUAAACACUUGCCAGCACACCCACUAUAUCCCCUCCAGUGGGCGAGGGCAUCUCUGCUCCCAUCCCCCCCGCCUCAACGUAUUCCCAAGUCUACACUUCAGUAUUCACAGCCCCACCCCUGGGUCACAAGUAUCUUUUUUUUUUUUUUUAAAGACAGGGUUUCACCAUGUUGGUCAGGCUGGUCUUGAACUCCUGACCUCAGGUGAUCCACUCGCCUUGGCCUCCAAAGUGCUUGGAUUACAUGCAUGAGCCACUGCACCCAGCCACAAGUAUCUUUUUUUUUGACACAGUCUCACUCCGUUGCCCUAGCUGGACUGCAAUGGUGUAAUCUUGGCUCACUACAACCUCUGCCUCCCAGAUUCAAGUGAUUCUUCUGCCUCAGCCUCCCAAAUAGCUGGGAUUACAGGUGCCCACCACCAUGUCCAGCUAAUUUUUGUAUUUUUAAUUGAGACAGGAUUGC